GUACAGGGCCCACUGGGUACUGUGAUUGGAAUGAAUACAAUUUAAAAACCUUAAUGAGGAACGAUUGGAGGGCAAGUCUGGUGCCAGCAGCCGCGGUAAUUCCAGCUCCAAUAGUGUAUAUUAAAGUUGCUGCAGUUAAAAAGCUCGUAGUUGGAUUUCGGAUUAAUGAGAACUUAAGGUCCAUCUUUCCGAUGUGUACCUUAUUCUCGUUUCCUUCCUUUUGAAUACACUCCCUAAAAUUAUAUUUUAGGGGUCAAAGUGUUUCAAAUCUUUUACUGUGAAGAAAUUAGAGUGUUCAAGGCAGGCGUAAUCUAGCCUUUGAAUAUAUUAGCAUGGGAUAAUGAAAUAGGACUUUAGUCCUACUUUCGUUGGUUUCUAGGGCUAAAGUAAUGAUUAAUAGGGAUAGUUGGGGUCACUAGUAUUUAAUUGUCAGAGGUGAAAUUCUAAGAUUUAUUAAAGACUAACUACUGCGAAAGCAUUUGACAAGGAUGUUUUCAUUAAUCAAGAACGAAAGUUGGGGGAUCGAAGAUGAUCAGAUACCGUCGUAGUCUCAACCAUAAACUAUGCCGACCAAGGAUCCGGGGGUGUUAAAUAUGGAUGACUCUCCGGGCACUUAUAGAGAAAUCAUAAGUAUUUGGGCUCCGGGGGGAGUAUGGUCACAAGGCUGAAACUUAAAGGAAUUGACGGAAGGGCACCACAAGGAGUGGAACCUGCGGUUUAAUUUGACCCAACACGGGGAGACUUACCAGGUCCAGACACAGUGAGGAUUGACAGAUUGAGAGUUCUUUCUUGAUUCUGUGAGUGGUGGUGCAUGGCCGUUUCUAGUUGGUGGAGUGAUUUGUCUGGUUAAUUCCGUUAACGAACGAGACCUUAACCUAUUAAAUAGUUGCUUGAACACAUGAAUAUUCUAUUCUUUGUUCGGUUAACUUCUUAGAGGGACUCUUCACUGAGAGAGUGAAUGGAAGUUUGAGGCAAAAACAGGUCUGUGAUGCCCUUAGAUGUUCUGGGCCACACGCGCGUUACACUGACAUAUUCAACGAGCAUUUUCCUGACCCGAUGGGGUUGGGUAAUCUUUUAAAUGUAUGUCGUGCUGGGGAUAGAUCAUUGUAAUUAUUGGUCUUGAACGAGGAAUUCCUAGUAAGUACGGGUCAUCAACUCGUGCUGAUUACGUCCCUGCCCUUUGUACACACCGCCCGUCGCUCCUACCGAUUGAAUGGUCCGGCGAGAACUCAGGAUGGAUAUAGAUCUUGGAUAUCGUCAGAUGUUCCAACUAUAUCCAGAAUUUGUUCAAACCUUACCAUUUAGAGGAAGGAGAAGUCGUAACAAGGUUUCCGUAGGUGAACCUGCGGAAG
rnacentral:rRNA from 1 species